AUUGAACGCUGGCGGCAUGCUUUACACAUGCAAGUCGAGCGGCAGCACGGGGGCAACCCUGGUGGCGAGCGGCGAACGGGUGAGUAAUACAUCGGAACAUGCCCCGUCGUGGGGGAUAACACUUCGAAAGAAGUGCUAAUACCGCAUACGUCCUGAGGGAGAAAGCGGGGGAUCGCAAGACCUCGCGCGAUUGGAGUGGCCGAUGUCAGAUUAGCUAGCUGGUGGGGUAAAGGCCUACCAAGGCAACUAUCGGUAGCUGGUCUGAGAGGAUGAUCAGCCACACUGGGACUGAGACACGGCCCAGACUCCUACGGGAGGCAGCAGUGGGGAAUUUUGGACAAUGGGGGCAACCCUGAUCCAGCCAUUCCGCGUGAGUGAAGAAGGCCUUCGGGUUGUAAAGCUCUUUCGGCAGUAACGAAACGGCGAGCUCUAACAUAGCUUGCUAAUGACGGUACCUGAAGAAGAAGCACCGGCUAACUACGUG
rnacentral:rRNA from 1 species